GAUGAACGCUGGCGGCGUGCCUAAUGCAUGCAAGUCGAGCGAACGGACGAGAAGCUUGCUUCUCUGAUGUUAGCGGCGGACGGGUGAGUAACACGUGGAUAACCUACCUAUAAGACUGGGAUAACUUCGGGAAACCGGAGCUAAUACCGGAUAAUAUUUUGAACCGCAUGGUUCAAAAGUGAAAGACGGUCUUGCUGUCACUUAUAGAUGGAUCCGCGCUGCAUUAGCUAGUUGGUAAGGUAACGGCUUACCAAGGCAACGAUGCAUAGCCGACCUGAGAGGGUGGUCGGCCACACGGGAACUGGAACACGGUCCAGACUCCUACGGGAGGCAGCAGUAGGGAAUCGUCCGCAAUGGGCGGAAGCCUGACGGAGCAACGCCGCGUGAGUGAUGAAGGUCUUCGGAUCGUAAAACUCUGUUAUUAGGGAAGAACAUAUGUGUAAGUAACUGUGCACAUCUUGACGGUACCUAAUCAGAAAGCCACGGCUAACUACGUG
rnacentral:rRNA from 1 species